rnacentral:lncRNA from 1 species
GGGGGCGGGGAGGGAGGGGAGGGAGAGAGGAGGAAGGGGUGAGAGGGAGAAACCUGCCGCGGCUCUCCGCCUCUUUGUCUGCUCUGGGACUUGGAACAAAAGGGGAAACUCUGAUGAACUCCUUCUCCAGCUCCCUGGACGCCCGAGUAUCUCUUUCUCGCAACUUUGUCAACGCGACUUUCUCCGCUGUCAGGCUGCGCAAAAGUAUCCUAGCGCCUCGCAGGCUGCAACAAUGGAAACAAUGUCCCUUCAAAGUGCGACGAAGUGGAGGGAGAAGGUGUCAUACCAGCGACUCCAAGAGUCAUGUCACCCACUUAGCAGGAGUACUUCUACUGAAAUGCCUUCGAAUUUCUCUUACUGGAUAUAUACCUACCAGCCGCUAGCAUGAAGAUGCCAGGACCGCUGCAAGUUAGCACUGGACAAAGUAGCAUCAACUUCUUCAUUUAGAGUUUCUUCAGUUAAAUUGCUGGGAUUUUCGACAAGGCUUUCCUUAUGUGGAUUAUUGGAGUGUGAUGCCCGAGAAUUCUCUACUUGUAGAAGCACGCCCACGGGACUGCAGAAGCCUUCACACCCACCCAGCACGCUCAGAUCAUCCAGUAACCAACCCAGGAAGUUCUUGUAAGCAUGCAUUUCUUAGUCAACACUGAAUGCCUUUAGACCGAGGUCAACCUUUUCAGCUGGUACCGUGGUUUACACUGCUGAUGGGAAUGAGUGAUGGCCAUCCAGUGACCAGCUGGAUCUGACUGCCUUACAAGACGCAUGUGUAUGAUUAAGAGAGAGACAUUCGUGACUCCCAGAUGUACCUCCUUCCUGUCCCACAGUGUUCCUGAAGGGAGUGAGUUAUGGGGUAACUUAUAACACAGCAGGCUCUUCCUCAAGAUAGCUCUUGUCAAAACAGGAAGACGAAACUCGGGUUUCCAUGAGGAGACCACAGCUUGGGAUCCUGUCUGGAUGUACAAGCAGAAGCAUCUUCAUACUUUUCCAUUUCUAACCAUCAUGCCUCACCCCACCCUCCCAAGGCGACAUCUGCAGAGAGGUGGAACCAUCUAGGGAGGCCUGCCACUGUUUGCUGAGCUCCGGGUGAGGAUGAAGACACUUUGACAUGGCCAGCUUCAGACUCGGGAUCUGUCGGUGUUAGCAGCCGAAGGAGAAUGAGGAGGAAGAGGAGGAGAAAGAGGAGGAGGAAGUAAGACAGAGGGGGACAAGAGGACCAAGAGGGCACAUGGCUGAGGAGGAGGAGAACAACAACAACAACAACAACAACAACAACAACAAGAAGCUUGGUGUUUUCAGGAUGUGUUCCUGAGUCUCGUGAGUAGCACAUGGCAGUUGUUGUCACCUUGGGCUGAGCCGUGAAGAUUCUCACCCUCCCUUGUUGGGGAUGAACUCCGGGAUUCUAAGGAGAGGUCAGCAGGUGUUUCACAGACUGUUCCUGUUGGAGGAUUUGUCUGAUACUCUUCUCCUGAUUAGUCUGGGCUCUACAUUUCCCCAAGGGUGAAACUUGGAAGCCCUCUCCAGGAUGCAGCAGGUAGCUGAGGAGAAAACGAAGACUGACCAGCCCAGAGCUCAGAGCUUCCUCCCAUGCUCAGGAUUUACCACCAAUGCCAUUACAUCGGCCUCUUCUUGUAUGCCUCUGGAAACCACAUGUGUCCUCUGUUUGUAAUGGUUUGGCUAUGGUUGCUGGCCCCUCUUGGACAUUGUUUUCAGAACUUAAAGAAACAUUGCUUUAAAGAUUUAUUAGAACAUAUUUAAAAUAAAACCAUCUUCUCAUUUAGUAUGCAAUUGAUUCUUCCCAUUUCCUCAGUCAAAACUCAUUGAUCAAAUUUAUUUGAGAAAUCCAGACAUGUAUAUAGCGUAUUGGGGUUAUUCCCAUCCUCCCCCAUAUUCUCUUAUCUCCCUUCCAGCCCUGACGCCCUCAGUCCUCCCUAUGGGCCUAUUCACACAAUCAUGUCUUUUUGUUUUAUGAACCAUUGAUUUUAACCGGGGCCAUCUGUGUUGCCAUGGCUUUAGAAUUAUCUACUGGAACUGGUUGGCUCAAAAUAGACAAAGACUUUCCCUUCCCCCAAGUCCAUCAUAGCUAGGAAUUCAGUCCCUCCGGUCCCCUCCCCAAUUCAUAAUUGACUGUUAGAAAGCCUAGUUUAAUGCAGGCCCUGUGUAGGUACCCAUAGCUACUGUGAGGUCACACCUGAAGAUGUGAAGCCCUUUUCCCUGUCUUCCAUUUCCACUUCUGUGUUCCCUGAGCCCUAGAUGGGAUAGUAUGAAUGUUCUGAUAAUCCGACCAAGUGGUAGUAUAUGUGUUCACUUAGAUAAAACAAAGACAAUACCAAUAGGAAAUGUAUUAUAAGCCCUGCACAUGCUAAAAAUAUAUGUAGCAAAUAACAUUAUUAUAUAAAUUCAGGGUCAUUGCUCUAUGUCAAUGUCAGUGACGUAUCAGUUUCAAAGGAUUUAUAUCACUGUUAAGUUAGAAAUAAUCCACUCUUGCUUGUUGUACAGUGCAUUUGUCCAGAUAGCCUACAAAAA